UACGUAGGGGGCAAGCGUUGUCCGGAAUCAUUGGGCGUAAAGAGCGUGUAGGCGGCCAGAAAAGUCCGCUGUGAAAACUCGAGGCUCAACUUCGAGCUGUCGGUGGAAACUUUCUGGCUAGAGUCCGGAAGAGGAGAAUGGAAUUCCUGGUGAUAGCGGUGAAAUGCGCAGAUAUCAGGAAGAACACCCGUGGCGAAGGCGGUUCUCUGGGACGGUACUGACGCUGGAGACGCGAAAGCGUGGGGAGCGAACAGG
rnacentral:rRNA from 1 species